rnacentral:rRNA from 1 species
CGUUUGAGGAAGUCACACGUCCUGUUCCCUAUAAAUAAGGAGAUUCAUUCUUUUUUUUUUCAGAAAUCCCCUCUUCUUCCUCCUCAAGCCCCUAUCACAAGACCAAGCGGAUCUCAUCCUGCAGAAGACUCAGAGCGGAUCUAUCUAAUGGCAUGGCUGGCUGUCGGAUGUGAUCUAUUCUCGUGUCACAUCGCUUUCUUUCUUCUCCCUCCACAGUUUUGGUCAAAUGACAGUUGA